UACAGAGGUCCCAAGCGUUGUUCGGAUUCACUGGGCGUAAAGGGUGCGUAGGUGGUGGGGUAAGUUUGAUGUGAAAUCUCCGAGCUUAACUCGGAAAUGGCAUUGAAUACUACUCUGCUAGAGGGUCGGAGGGGAGACUGGAAUUUUCGGUGUAGCAGUGAAAUGCGUGGAUAUCGAAAGGAACACCAGUGGCGAAGGCGGCCACCUGGUUGGAUACUGACGCUGAGACGCGAAAGCGUGGGGAGCAAACAGG
rnacentral:rRNA from 1 species